UCCCCUUUUCUCUUACCCCACUCCCAUUAGGCUUCCAGCCACCCUAAGCCACAAGACUGGGCAAGGUCACCAAGGAUCCCCCACUGAUGAGGGCCACCAUCCAACUCUGGUCAGCGGCUGCUCAGGUUCUCCUGCACCCAGCAGGAUGCACCCGGGAGGAGGCUCCCGGCGUGGCUGUCUCACCUGCUUCCGGUAGACAUAGCACGCGGCGAUGGCGACCAUGGUGGAUUCUCCCACAAAGCCCGCCAGGAGGGAGCCCACACCCAGGGUUGCACCGUGCACCCUGCAGAUGAGAACACAAAGGCGAUUUGUCUGUUAAGGCCAAGUCAAGGCACAACCGUCCAUACCAAAACCCAGGAAAGUAAGUGUAGCCUCGAGACGGCUGAGACCAGCGGUGUUCUCCAUCUGUUGGCUUCGUAAGGGCGCAGCUAAUAACCUAAUGUGUGAGGGGAACUGGGAACUCGGGGUUGGGCCGCCUCCCUCCCGCAGCACAUGGAUCCUACAGCACACGGACCCCACAGCCCUUCCUGCCCUCCCAGGACACUGGGAGCUCCCUGAGCGCAGGGACCAUAUCCUCCUCUUCUGGUUUUCACGUCCAGCAUACGCUCGAGCCCGUGCAGGGCCAGCCACACCCUGACAGGAGCUCAGUGGCUAUUACUUGUGUCUGGGCCUGACCCCAAAAGCUCUUUUCUAGAAUGGAUCCCAAGAGCCCUAGAAUGGAUCCCAAGAGCCUCCACCUGGUGCCUGGGCAGACACACAAAACAUCAUUCUGAAUUUCCGAUUCUAGACAUGCCUAGGGAUUUCCCAUGGAAAUGUAGAUCUGAAACCUCUGGACACAGUAUUGAAGGGGCAGAAGGACCCACAGCCCCAAACUCCCUGACGACAUACCCCAGGUAGGGCAGGACCACGAGGCUGGCGAUGAGGACGAUGAUCCGCAGCACAGAGCUGGGGGCCAGGACGAAGGUUUUCUUCAGCGUCAUGAGCCACCCAGUGAGAUGCGCCCUCACUGUGACUGUGGGGAGGAACAAAGGACUCGUCAGGCGUGCCCGCAUCCCCUCCCCAUCCUCUGGACCAGGGCAGCACGUCCGAGCGCCAGAGGCUGCCUGGGACCCUGGUCUUGCUGCUGAGCCUCUGGCCACCCCGUCUUCCUGCCAGGGCUCCCCAUCCCUGCUCCUGAGCCUAGGCCCGCCUCGGGUCCCCGCCUCCUCACAGCCCUUUGGGUCUAAACGGCUGGGGACCGGCAGGCUCCUUGCUCCACUGGGACCACAUCUUCCAGGCAGCCUAGCUGCUCCUGUCCAGUCCUGUCCCCACACUUGCCCAGCCUCGCCCUCGAUCAUCCACCUCUAGAAGGGAACACUCAGAGAAGAGUGGCAAUAUGACGGCACUCUGGUGUGACGCUGGGUGAGCAGAAAAGCUGGCACCAGAAUUCAUCUUCCCUGCCUGUGAUCAGAGGUAUGGAGACCAGAGCAGUGAGGUAGGAGGAGGAAGCUGCACGUCCCCACUUCCCUUUGUUCCCUCCCUGAGCUGGUCCUGACCACUUCCACUGAGGUCACUUCCCUUUCUCCCUCUCCUAAUGCUGUGGCCCUCGGUGCGCUGCCAUUGCACCACAGGCUGCGUGGCCUCCCCGUGCCUGCCUCCUCACUGGAUCUCUGAGCUGCAGGAGGGCCGUGGGUGGACAGCGGGGAACUGUGGAGAGCACGGAGCUUGCCCUUGUCAGUAGGAAGGUCCCUGAGCAUCUAGAUUCCAUCUGAAACUGGAAAGGCUUGAGGAAGCGCAGGGCAGGGCCUGCUCCUUGAAGACAGGGGCCCGUCACCUCCCUGUGGACAGCACCAGGCAAAGGCUCUUGGAGGAGGAAGUGCUCAUUCCUGGGAUAAAGAUUCCUUUCCAGGAUUGCUGGUUUGGAAGGAAGCCUCUGCCGUCUUCUUGGUCUAACAGUAUAUGUCCUGCCUUCCUCUGGGUGGAAGCCUUAUAUUAAUACUAACAAGGCUAAUUUUCUUCUCUUAGGCAGACAGACCCACUGAGGUUUUUGACCGAAGGAGAGAGUCGGUCCCAGGCAUAUGCUAAACUGGGUAGCCCAAAUCCAACAGAUUGCAAAGAGUGGCAGGGCCUGGCAGCUGUCUGGAAACCCUUCAUCUUACAGACAAGAAAGUGGAGUCAAAUGGAGAUUGAAGGUGAAUCGCAUACCCAGCUAUAGCCGGCUCCCAGCUGGGGCGCUCCAGGCCCCUCCUCUGGUCACUACCAUAGGAAAUAUAGCUGCAUGUGCCUCAAUCUGCGAGUGCAGCUCCUUCUGGAUGGUGACACUUUCCCCAGCUUGGUUCACCCUGUGGCUACCCAAGUCCAGAUGCCAUCCCGGUGCUGUGAUCUUCCAGCCACUUCUCCAUUUCUGCCACAGCCCAGAAAGUGAUGCCGCAAGGCCUUGGAACAAGGGCUGCUCCCAUCAGCCCUGGCCUACCUGGGCUCCGUGGCUCCUUUCUUUUUCUCUUUUUUUCUUUCUUUUUGAGACGGAGUUUCACUCUUAUUGCAUAGGCUGGAGUGCAGAGGUCGCAGUGAGCCGAGAUUGUGCUACUGCAUUCCAGUCUGCAUUCCAGACAGAGACUCUGUCUCCAAAAAA